UCUACAUAAAGAGAUAACGCCAGGAUAACAUAGCUGAAGGUUAUUCCGCUUCUUGAACGCUCCAAGUUCGAACAAUAUUAAAUUAAAAUGGAGUUUUGAGACAAUGAAAUAUACAACGAUACUGAUCUCAUUGGCAGUUCUUUCUCUUCACAUUUCCUGUAUAAAUGGUUGGUUUUUUGAAAGCCCAGAACAUCCAACAAGACGAGAGGACGAGUUAACUGAUAUUGCUGAGGUAAAUCCAGAAGAUCUAGAUGAUAUGCAGUUAUUUUUAACAUAUAAACCUUACUUUUUGGAAUACGCCAGACAACAAAUGUUAAGGAAGAGAAAUCCACCUUCAAAACGAUCCCUGCCAAUCAUGUUGCGACAACGGAAAGAAUAAGAAGCUU